CCCAUUGGCCAAUUCCAAAUUUCCAAUAGCAAGUUUUCAAUCAUGGAUUCAUGGUUUUAGCUCUCACAACAGUAAAGUCAUCCACCACAAAAAGAAAAAGGUGAAAGGAGAGAGAAAAAGGAAGAAGAAGAAGAAGGAGAAGAAAAGUCUGGACCGGUGGAAAUUGAUAGCAAUCCAUCUUCUCUUCCAGCUUUGAGGGUUUGGGUUUGCUUGCAGCUCGUCCUUCCAUUCAAAGAUGGCCAUGUACAUCCGUGUUAAGCGGUGUAAGACAACCUACUUCAUUCAGUGUGAUCCUACUGAAAAAAUUCUGGAAAUAAAGCAGAAAAUACAUGGGCUUAUUGAACAACCUGUUGAUAACCAGCGGUUAAUUCUCGUAGAAACUGGGGACGUGCUGGAGGAUACAAAGACUUUAGCAGAUCAGAAGGUGGAAAAUGAUGCUGUGGUGGCAUUGACCUUGAGAAAAGUGUUGGACGUACUGCAUCUCCUGAUUGUAGGUGGAAUGUGAAACAACCUUUUAGCUACCAGGGCUAUGAAACAUUGGAACCGAGGGGUUAUAAAGUGAUAAUGAAUUUGAAGAUGUCAACAUCGAAAAGCCAAGUGAUUUCUACCAAUCUCGUGAUUCAGACGGUGGUUCCAAUUGGUAAACGAAGGCUCAAGUUUAGCUUAGUUAAUAGUUAUGGUGGCAAACUGGCAAUCGGCAGGCAACAGGUGCAAGAGUAUUGCUAAGGCCAUUGAGUGUACCUGUUUACAGAUUGAAACAUCUGGUGUGCUGAAGGCUAAGAACUACAAGAAUUCAUGUAUGCUGAUGAAAUGCAUGAACAUAAUUGUUGUAUUGCUUAGUUCUUGAAGUGUUUGAUACUAACAUAAAGUAAAAUGGCAAAUGUACCCUUUUGCUACUCA